GGACCGGCUAUCCACAAGGCAGCCAGGCAGAGGGCAUGACGUGCAGCCAGGCGCAUGCUGUGCUGUGCAGAGGGGAUGAUGGGCACAGACAAGUGCACCCAUUCCUUCUUCACAAACAGCUGGCAGAGGGAGAGCCAACGCUGCAGCUCCCCGCCUGCCGGCAAUGCGGCCCAGCCCGCACAGGCCUAUUUCAUAACAGGGGGGAGAAAAAUCCUGAAAGGGCAGAGGGAGGAGGGUGGACUAAAGAUGCCUUACAGCACAGCACAAGCUGGAGCCAAGCUGCAGCCCCUUCUCUGCUCUGACACCUUUCACCCUCUGUCACGCUCCAGCACGAACACUGGCCCAUGAGAAGGGGAUGCCAGAAAAUGAAACGUUGAGCCCAACACAGGCUGAUCCUGGACACGUGGCAUCUUUAUGACAGGGAACAGGAGCAACCUGACCAACUCAGCGACACUGCCAGCCCUCCGGUGCCAGCCCAUCGCCUUCAUCGCUGCUCCUCUAGCACCUCAGAAAUAAAAACCAUGCAAACAAUAA